rnacentral:tRNA from 1 species
GCCUCCGUGGUGUAGAAAUCAGCACACUCGACUCGUAUUCGAGAGGUCCGUGGUUCGAGUCCUGGCGAGAGCA